UAGGUGGUUAAACGUUAUAUGCUCUUACCAGCGUAUCGCCGUGUGUACUUCAUCCACAGCAAUCCUCUCCAAUCGGUGCCAAAAUGUCCCAGUUAGAGAGUAAACACCCUAAACAUAUUCUUUGUAAAUCUGUAAAAUCCUUCCUAGAAAGAACCAAGCAGGCCAGCUUUGUGGCAUGAUCCAAAUCUUCUUCAAAACUUGCCGUUUUCGGCAUGUAGCUUGCUAACUCGAAGUUUGUUGUUGUUACCCGAAAAGAACGAAGUUUGAGAACGGCAACACACAGAGAGCAGAAGGUGAGGGAC